AAAGAGAUAAAAGAGACUUGAAAGAAACUGCGGGAGUUGAAUUUAUAAAAUAUUUCAUUCACUUGAACAACUUUAUAGUAAUUAUUUUCUCUUCUCCUUCCUCUUUUUAUUCAUUUUUUUCGAAGGAGUAUGUAUUGAAAUAUUACAAACAUAAUUCCUUUUUUUCUUCCUCUUAUCCUUCUAUUUUUUCAUUCCUUUUUUUUCUUUUUCUGCCAUCUUCUGAAAUAUUACAAACAUAAUUAUUCAAUCCCACACAACUCCAAACAAGACUCUUUCAACCCUUUGAAUAGGGUGAUAAUAUUGUUUUUCACUUCUCGGCUUGUAAUGAGUUUUAAACAAAAAAGGGAGAAUAGGCUCAAGGGGGUUUCAAACAAGGGAUGAAAUUAUUUCAGGGUUGACUUUUUGGCUAACUGGCUAAAAAAACAAAAAA
rnacentral:lncRNA from 1 species